ACACACAAACACACACACACACUCAUAUAUAUAAAUAUAUAUAUAUUGAUUUAAAGAAAUCUUAGUCAAUUUUUUCAUAUAAAAUUCAUGAACUUCUGCAGCCUCUCCCCAGAGUUGAGGUCUAUCUGGCCCGUCAGGAAAUAAAUAUCCUCCCCACUGCUGCCACGCUCAGUUUGAGCGCAGAUGAAUUCCUUCCCCACAAUCCUUGUCUCCGUUCGUGGGCCUCUGAGGGAAUUGUGUUUGUUUAUAGUCGAGCCUUUUUCCAUCAGGAGCACACAAGACAAUGUGGAGAGAGGGAGAGAGAGCGAUGGAGAAAUCCAGAUCUAUUUGGGGAAUGGAGAAAAAGGGAAAUACUAUUAUGCAAAUUGGUGCAAGCCAACGGGGCCAGGCUGUGUGUGAGUGUGCAUAUGUGUGUGUGUGUGUGUGAGUGUGCAUAUGUGUGUGUGUGUGUGUCAGAGGGGCCGAUUAGGGCUCAUCUGUUAUUGAUGUGAAAUUUGGACAAAACCAUUACCCUCUCAAAUGUGAGUCAGUGGACCAACCUGCUGUGUGUAAGGGAUGGAGCGAGUGAGCCGGUCAUAAUCAGCCAAUAGGAGACAUGUUUUUAUGAGUCUCAAACCCUGUAACAAUACCAAGAUUAGCAUACACUGUUUGUGUCCACUUAGCACAAUUUAUAAUUUUAACAUUUUAGAAAUCCAUUAUUUUUAUGUUUCUGAGUCUGAACUGCUAAUUAGUCAUUCGAGAAAGCUGUCAAAUCAUCGGGAGUCGGUCGUGAAUUAAGAAAUACAAGCUAAACGAAUUAUUGCAGUAAGGAGGAAAUACUAUUUAUUUUAUUUUUGGUCUCAAUAAACCAAAACUUGGCUCAGUUUGAUAACUUGGUUUGGUUUGAUUGAUUUGGUAAGUGGAAGUCGAGGCGCAUCAAUUCUGUAGUUUUACCAGCCAGAUCCCUUCUGCACAUGUCUUGACUCCAAAUGACAUCACCAGAGUGAUAUGUUAGCGCCCUUCACGAGGGUGUUUCAGCUUCAAUUUAAAAUGUACAACAGAAGGAGAUGCGUCCGUAUUUAAAGACGGUCUGAAGUCUGAGCAUGGAGUUAUUCUUUUAGAGUUUUCAAAAGGACUGUGCUGUCUUCAUCUCAGUUCUUUCCAUAUUAUCUUCUCCCUCCUUUUCAUUUAUUCAACAUUUCUCUGCAUCAUUACUAUCCCAUCUCACCCUUUGUUCAUGACUUGAGUAAAGUACGUCCUGACCAAUGUUUAGCUUCCUCCUGCCAUCUUUUCUUUUAACCCUCCAUCCUGCCCCCAAUACGACUCACACCCCACCUCCUCCUCCACCCAAACGCCAACCCUUCCAAGGCAGCUGCGUCCCCCCUCUUUGAUGAGGGCUGAUGGGGCCUUAUGAGCGCUGGAAUUGACAACAUUUACGGGGCCGAAUGAGAAUGAUCCAUCUUCCUUAGCGGGGCUGUCACCCCACUGGCCAAACUUCAUCAUGGCCAAUUACCACGGCAGACCCCGUCUUCUCUGUCGCUGCUGCUGCCUGGCCCCCAUCUACAUGGAAACAUGGAAACAUUAGACACCAUUACAAUACGCCAAGAGAGGGAGGAGGGGCUCUAGGGAAAGUGUGUAUGAAUGGGUGAAAAAAAACUACAGGUGUGAUGUGUCAGGGGGAAGGGGGGGGGGGGGUGUUAAGAGAGAAAAGAGCUUAAAAAUGUGUCUGAAGUGUAAAGAGAGAGAGAGAGAGAGGUGUGUGUGUGUGUGUGUGUGUGUGUUGUACAGAGUAAGCUCUUAUUUGGCAGGUCACAGUCCAGUGGUUGUGUUGUGUGUUGACGAGCACAGGGGUGUUUAAGAGGUCAGUGAGCACAAACACACGCCCACACUCACACCUCCACACACACAGAUGCAGAGGUAUUAAAAGGGUCAGUGCGAAACUCUCACCUCAUCACCUAAAGGAAAUUCUGAUUGCUGUCAUUAGUGUACACACACACACACACACACACACACACACACACGCACACACACACAGAGGCAGGUUAGCAGUCGAGAAAAGACGAGGUAAUUCAAUGAAUAUAGAAAAGUGAGUUUUUUCCUGCUCACAUUGCACCCAAAGCAAGUUGUCACCACAGCAAACAAAAACAACUCAAAUGCAAAGUGAUGAAAAAUGUUAUUUGUAAAAGUUGUAAAAUAUUAAUAUUCAAUUAAGGCAUGUGUAACGGAAACUCUCAGCCAGCAUGCAUCAGUACCUUUUUUCAAACUCUGUUUUCUCGUAUAGUAAAUUUAGUUUUUUGUCAGUUUCAGAUCUUGAUUUAUCUCGUUAUCUUGGGAAUAAAAAAGCUGGUUUUCCAGUGAUAACAAUCUAAUUUUAACAGUUUUCUUGCGAUGUUGAGAACUUGAUAUCACAGAGAAACCAGCAUUGCUCAUUCAGAGAUAAAUAAUUUGAUAUCUGAGGAAAACAACCAAAAUUUACUUUUCAUGGGAAAACUGAGUAAAAUAAAACGUAUGGAUGUAUCUCUAUUAAGGGCUACCACAAUAUAUAACAAUUGUACUCAAACACACACACACACACACAUGCACAAAUAGACAGCGGACAGGUCAUUCAAUCAUGAUGAGCGUAGCGAUCUUGAAAAUAGUGGUUAAUCUAUAUCUAGGUGAUCAUCAUUUCACUGCCAUCCCUACACACACACACACACACACACACAUCUGGUGGAGGAGGGAGGAUGGAUGGGUCAUGGGUCUGUGUCGGGUUCAGAUGGAGGUGAGGGGGCAGUUUCCUAUAUUCAUCUCUCUGUCUGCAGUUUGGGAGAGAGUUCAUUAAAUCAGGUUUUUAGAGAAGCAGCUUCACGUUUAACGUUAAAGAUUAUCAUGUUUUAUUUCUUAUUUAAAAA